rnacentral:rRNA from 1 species
AACGAACGCUGGCGGCAUGCCUAACACAUGCAAGUCGAACGAGACCUUCGGGUCUAGUGGCGCACGGGUGCGUAACGCGUGGGAACCUGCCCUUAGGACCGGAAUAACUCCCCGAAAGGGGUGCUAAUACCGGAUAAUGUCUUCGGACCAAAGAUUCAUCGCCUUUGGAUGGGCCCGCGUUGGAUUAGCUAGUUGGUAGGGUAAAAGCCUACCAAGGCGACGAUCCAUAGCUGGUCUGAGAGGAUGAUCAGCCACACUGGGACUGAGACACGGCCCAGACUCCUACGGGAGGCAGCAGUGGGGAAUAUUGGACAAUGGGCGAAAGCCUGAUCCAGCAAUGCCGCGUGAGUGAUGAAGGCCUUAGGGUUGUAAAGCUCUUUUACCCGGGAUGAUAAUGACAGUACCGGGAGAAUAAGCUCCGGCUAACUCCGUG